CUCCCGCGUAGCCUGCGGGCCCCUGGCGGCCCAGGGCAUGGGGCAGAGACGCCAUGCCGGCUGAUACACACGCCCGGAGGAGGUGAGGGAGGAAGCCACUUGAAAAUAAACAGGUGCGGCCGGCGGGGGACAGGGAAAGAGAUCACAGCGAAGACCCAGAAGAAACAAAAGGCAAGCGAAUGACUUUAUUUUACUGAAAAAAAAAAAACUUGAAUGAAGAGAGCCAAAGUACAUGGUGAUGUGAGUGUGAGUCAUGGAACUUGUUCUUUUUUCUGAAUAAUUAUUUCACUUAAGAAGACAUCCAGAUACAUCCAGAUAAUUUGACUAUUUGCCGACCUCUUGGAUGUACCAUAGAUUCUUAUGCAUUGGAUCCUUGAAGACUUAACGCUUCAGGAUGGCAUGCUGGGCACACAAGUUCACUUCCCCCUUGCAAAGCCACAUGACAUUUACGGUAAAGAAAUAAGGCAGAAAUAAAGCCAUGACACUACUGUGACCAGAAGGAAGGCCAUCCGAGAGAAAUAUACUUUUGUGAAGUUCUUGGCAAGAAGAAAGAGGAGAGGACCAGGCCGGGCGCGGUAGCUCACGCCUGUAGUCCCAGCACUUUGGGACAAGGCGGGUGGAUUACAAGGUCAGGAGAUCGAGACCAUCCUUGCUAACACGGUGAAACCCCGUCUCUACUAAAAGUACGAAAAAUUAGCCGGGCGUGGUGGUGGGCGCCUGUAGUCCCAGCUAUUGGGGAGGCUAAGGCAGGAGAAUGGCGUGAACCCAGGAGGUGGAGUUUGCAGUGAGCCGAGAUCAUGCCACUGCACUCCAGCCUGGGCAACACUGCAAGACUCCGUCUCAAAAAAAAAAAAAAAAGAAAAGAAAAGAUAAAUAAAAUUGAUAAUUUGACUAUUUGCCGACCUCUUGGAUGUACCAUAGAUUCUUAUGCAUUGGAUCCUUGAAGACUUACACUUCAGGAUGGCAUGCCAGGCACACAAGUUCACUUCCCCCUUGCGAAGCCACAUGACAUUUAUGGUAAAGAAAUAAGGCAGAAAUAAAGUCAUGACACUACUGUGACCAGUGCAGUGGCAUGACCAUAACUCACUGCAGCCUCAAAUUCCUGGGUUCAAGGGAUCCUCCUACCUCAGCCUACUAUGGAGUAGCUGAGACUACAGGCACGUGCCACCAUGCUUGUCUAAUUUUUUUUUUUAAGUACUGGUAGAGAUGGGUACCUUGCUUUGUUGCCCAGGCUAGUCUUAAACUCCAGGCCUCAAACCAUGCUCCCACCCCAGCCUCCUGAAGCACUAGGAUUACAGGCAUGAGCCACUGCAUCAAGCCCAAAAGAGGCUUCUUAUAAAAAAGGAACAACCAGAAAACAAGAAAGGGUUACUGGAAAUUAAAAAUAUGGCUAAAGUGCCUCGUUAGCUCAGUCGGUAGCGCUUCAGUCUCAUAAAAAUAUGGCUGCUAAAAAAUUUUACCUGUAACACAAACACUGAAAAAUGAAAUCAAGGAAAUCUACCAAAAUGAUGAGUAAAAAGAAAUAGAAAGUAUGAAACAAAAGUUACAAUCAGAGAAUCAAUAGAAGUCCUACACCCGCCUAACAGAACUGUCAGAAGAAAGCUGAAAAAAAAAUGUGCAGGAGAAAAUCAUUGAAUAAACCAUAGGUGAAGAACGGAUAAACAAAAUGUGGUAUAUACAUACAAUGAAAUAUUAUCCAGUCACAAAAAGGAAAGGAGCUACAUGCUACAACAUGGAUGAACCUUGACAACAUUAUGCUGAGUGAGAAAAACCACACACAAAGGCACAAAGGCCACAUAUUGUAUGAUUCCAUUUAUAUGAAAAGUCCAGAACAGGCAAAGCCAUAGAGACAGAGAGUAAAUUAGUGGUUUCCAGGGACUGGGGGAAAAGGGUAAUGAGUGAGUGAUUGCUAAUGGGUGUGGGAUUUCUUUUGGGGGUGAUGAAAAUGUUCUGAAGCUAGAUUGUGGUGAUGGUUGCACAGCUUUGUAAAUAUAAAAAAACCGUUUCUUUGUAUGCUUUAAAAGGGUGAAUUUUAUGGUGUGUGAAUUAUUUAUUUUUAACUAAAAAAAAAAAGUAGAAGAAAAUCUCCAGAACUGAAAAUAAAAAGAUUGAAGGUUCUAUAUGAAGCAGAGUAAAUAUAUAGAUACUCUCAAAUUCAUUCUUAUGGAAUUAAACACUAAAGAAGGGCAGGGAAAAAUGCUAAAGAGUGUCAAGAAAAAAGUUACAGAAAAAUUAAAAUAAAAUUGGCAUUGAACUUCUCAUUUGAAAUACCACCAGAAGAAAAUGGAACAAUGCCUUUUUCACAGUUCUGUAGGAAUAUGUUAUUGACCAAAUUAGGAUAGGAAAUCAGACACCUAGGAAAAUAAUAUCUUCUAAGAAAGUUUUUUUCAUUCAACAAUAGUAUAACUAAGAAGCUGAUGUCUUUGUGAUAUCAUGAAGAACACGUGUGUUUCUGUUUGCAACAAGAAAAAUGUAAGACAAUUAGCAAUUUUGGAUAAAAAAAUAGUUUCAAGAACCAGUGUGUAAAUAUGAACUAAAGUGUGGCAUGAUUUUGAAGAAAUUGAGUGUGAAGAAAGAGAAUCCAUUUGAUCUCAAUGCCUAGAACAUGCUUCUAUGACUAGUUUAGUGACAUAGGAUUACAUUCCAUUUUCUGGGGAUUAAACCGCUUAAUUCUGCAUUUAAUUAUAUAUAAUGUAGUAAAAAAUGUGAAAAGUGGCACUUAUUGAUUUAAAGCUAUAAAUGUAGCUGUAGAGGAAAUGUAAUACAUGUGGAGAAUAGUAGAAAAUAAAUUCUUUCAAAGUAGGGAAGGAAUAUAUACUGUCUAAAUAAUGUGUUCAGUAUAGAAGAAUAGGCAAAUUACCCUAAAUUACAGUCUAACCAUCAGAGGACUGAAACAGAAGCAAUUAAAAGUAGUUGCCUCUGAGGAGGAUACUGGGAGCUCGGAAUAAUACUUGUACUUGCUAUUUAACACCAUGAUAUAUUUUUCAACAUUUUGCUUUACCAUAUGCAUGUAUGACAUAAAUUUUUUUAUUAUACUUUAAGUUCUAGGUUAACUGUGCACAAAGUGCAGGUUUGUUACAUAGGUAUACACGUGCCAUGUUGGUUUGCUGCACCCAUCAACUCGUCAUUUACAUUAGGUAUUUCUCCUAAAGCUAUCACUCCCCCAGCCCUCCACCCAACAACAGGCUCCAGUGUGUGAUGUUCCCUGCCCUGUGUAUGACAUGAAUUUUUUUAAGAGAGAAAGAACAAUUUCCAGGCUUGCAAAUUGGCUGUAUCAUUAGAAAUACUUCCAGCAGCAGCAUACAGAAACCUUUACUAACAGUGGCUUGCAUCAUGACAUUUGUUAUUUGUUUAAAAAGUGAUCUAGAGGUAGGCAGAAGGAACUGACUGCAGUCGAUUUGGUGGCUUGACGACAUCAGCAAGGGCUCAGUUUCUUCCCAUCUGUCUGCUCUGCCACCCAAAGUUCUGGCUAUGGUCUCCACUCAAGAGCCCAACAUAGCUGCUGGCUCCAGGAACCAGUUUUCUCACAGCCACAUGCAGUCUCUGGAAGGAAAUUACAGAAAAAAAAAAGACUAACUUCCACAUGAUGAUCACCUUUUAUUUUCUUUUCUGGAAGCCACCAUCCCUUCCUCCUCCAACCCAUUCAGCUCCUUUCCAUCCUUCUCUUGCAUUUCAUUGGCCGGAAUUAGGUCACUUCCUCACCUCUGAACCAAUCACAGGGAAUUUAGUUCACCGGAACGGAAGCAGAUCUAUCAUAUCUCAUCAUCUGGAGCUGAGCACAUUGCUCCCUGAACAAAAUUGGUGUUCUUAAUAAAGAAGAAGAGGGCAUUGACUGUUAGGUAGGCAAUAACUGGGUCUACCAGGCUGACUGACUGAUUAACCAGCUACCAUCCCUUAUGAGGAGACAAUUGCCAGCCUGUCUAUCAGAGUCACAAAGCCUGGAAUCUCUCACAACAAAAGGCUAUACAAUUCUGAGGCCUUGGUCCUAUGUUAAUUUAAUGUGGAUUAAUCUUUUGAGAUAAAACCAUUUAGUCAUGUGUUGGCAUCUGCAAAUUAACACUGGCUUCUGGGGAGAAACUCUGGAGAAAAAAAAAAUCACAUCACUGCAUUUUUCAAAGGUUCAACAUCAAAAAUUUAUCAAGUGUAAAAACCCAGUCUGUUUGAUACUGUUAAAAUGAUUAAUAUUACAAAUAGCUGCUAGAAACAAGGCACAUCUGACAACCUGAAGGACUGGAAGGAGAGGCAAACAUUUUCCUUUCUGAAGUAGGAAAAGUUAGUUUCAUCAUUUGCAUUUUCCCUCCCUCAUAUCAUUUUAUGUCUCUGGCACAUUUCCUAAAUCAAAGACUUUCCUGGGGAUUCUAUUUAUCAGACAGGUAUUGGCUUGCUUUUCAGCAGCCCUAUCAUAGUUGAUUUACUAAUAUAUCCUAUAGACUUUCUGCACAAUCUAUACUGCUAAAGCCCAUAGUGCCUCAUAAUUCCCACCUAUUUUAAGUGAAAGACUUAAUGUGUAGAUGGGAUCUGACAUAUGAGUGCUGCUCACCAGUUCACUGUCAGCAGGUCUGAAUAAUUAGCACCAGCAGCUCUUCUUUGCAGAUAUCAAUACCUUAUAUCAUAAAUGUCAAGCAUAGCACAAAGAUGCAACUGGAAAACCUCCGAAGGGAAGGGAGCCCAUAAAUCAUGAAGGUUUCACUCUAUUUUUCUUCCAUUUUACUAUCAGAGAAUAAACCCAGGGUGGUGAGAUUUAAAAUCCUGCCCGCCUCUUAUUUAUUACUUAGCAUGGGGCCUUUCCUGAAGCUGGACCCUGGAGGAAGGGCUGAUGGGAAGGAGACACCUCAGCCGGGGAGGGAUAAUGAUGCAUUCAGGGGUGAGGGGUAAGUGGAAAACAAAACGUCUCAGCAGCACUCCCGGACAGUUCUGUGCCCCUUACCCGUGUGGCUGUGUUGUGUACAUUUGGGACUUAGAGGCUGGGAGAUUGUACAGUACAGGCUAUUGGAGGGGUUGCUUAUAAAAAAUCAUAACCCCCUGCCCUACUCAGUGAAGAAAAUAAUCUCUUUUAUGGUUGGAGAACAAGUGUGAGAAUGAAUGUUGUAAUGUAAUGUUCAUAAAUUUUAAUGAACAUGCUGAGGACGCCAGGCCCUAAGUAAACACCUCAUUCAAACUAGGCCCUAGCUCUGCAGUUAGCAAGGCCACAUCCAACCUCACCUCCAACAGUAGGUAUCACUCUUCUAACUGCAAUUUAAUUUAAUUUAGAGAUGAGGAAGUCUGUACUUCUGAAAAAAACAAAAGCAAAAAACUAUUCUAUCCUAAGAACUUUGGCACUUUGGCUAUUAGAAGGUUCCCACUAUAUUUAGCUGAGGUUGGUUUCUCUGAAACUCCUUUUGGUUCAUCCUACUUCCCCUUCUAGGGUCCCAUGGGGAUAAUUCUACCUUUGUUGUUGUUGUUGUUGUUGUUGUCGUUUUUGAGACAGGAUCUCACUCUGUCUCCCAGGCUGGAAUGCAGUGGCACAAUUAGGGCUCACUGCAGCCUCAACCUCCUAGGUUCAAUCAGUCCUCCCACCUCAGGUUCCUAAGUAGCUGAGACUACAAGUGGGUGCCACCACACCUGGCUAUUUUUUUUUUAAUUUGGGGUUUGAGGGUACAUGUGAAGUUUUGUUACAUAGAUAAACAUGUGUCACAGGGGUUUGUUGUACAUGUUAUUACAUCACCUAGUUAUUAAGCUUAGUACCCAAUAGUUAUCUUUUCUGCUCCUCUCCUUCCUCCCACCCUUCUCCCUCUGAUAGGCCCCAGUGUCUGUCAUUUCCUUCUUCAUGUGCAUAAGUUCUUAUCACUUAGCUCCCACUUAUAAGUGAGAACAUGCAGUAUUUAAUUUUCUAUUCCUGUGUUAGUUUGCUAAGGAUGAUAGCCUCCAGCUCUAUCCAUGUUCCCACAAAAGAUAUGAUCUCAUUUUUUUUAUGGCUGCGUAAUAUUCCAUGGUAUAUAUGUACCACAUUUUCUUGUCCGGUCUGUCAUUGAUGGGCAUUUAGGUUGAUUCCAUAUCUUUGCUGUUGUGAAUAGUGUUGCAAUGAACAUUUGCAUGCAUGUGUCUUUAUGGUAAAAUGUGUUAUAUUCAUCUGGGUAUAUAUCUGGAGGACUUGCUGGGUCAAAUGGUAGUUCUGCUUUUAGCUCUUUGAGGAAUUGCCAUACUGCUUUCCACGUGGCUGAACUAAUUUACACUCCCACUGAAAAUUUAUAAGAGUUCCCUUUUCUCCACAACCUUGCCAGUGCCAGCAUCUGUUGUUUUUGUUUUUGUUUUUGACUUUUUAUUAAUAGCCAUUCUGACUAGUGUGAGAUGGUAUCUCAUUAUGGUUUUGACUUGCAUUUCUCUAAUGAUCAGUGAUAUUGAGCUUUUUUUAAUAUGCUUGUUGGCCACAUGUAUGUCGUCUUUUGAGAAGUGUCUCUUCAUGUCCUUUGCCCAGUUUUUAAUGGGGUUGUUUGUUUUUCUCUUGUACAUUUGUUUAAGUUCCUUAUAUAUGAUACUAGACCUUUGUCAGAUGCAUAGUUUGCAAAUAUUUUCUCCCAUUCUGUAGGUUGUCUAUGCACUCUAAUAAUAGUUUCUUUUGCUGUGCAGAAGCUCUUUAGUUUAAGUAGGUCCCAUUUGUCAAUUUUUGCUUUUGUCGUGAUUGCUUUUAGUGUCUUUGUCAUGAAAUCUUUGCCUGUUUCUAGGUCCAGGAUGGUAUUGCCUAGGUUGUCUUCCGCGUUUUUAUAGUUUUGGGUUUUACAUUUAAGUCUUUAAUCCUUCUUGAGUUGAUUUUUGUACGUGGUGUAAAGAAGGGGUCCAGUUUCAAUCCUUUGCAUAUGGAGAGCCAAUUAUCCCUGCACCAUUUAUAAAAUAGGGUAUAUUUUCCCAUUGCUUUUUUUGGUCAGCUUUGUCAAAGAUCAGAUGGUUGUAGAAGUGUGGCCUCAUUUCUGGGCUCUCUAUUCUGUUGCAUUGGUCUAUGUGCCUGUUUUUGUACCAGUACCAUGAUGUUUUGGUCACUGUAGCCUUGUAGUAUAGUUUGCAGUUGGGUGAUGUGAUGCCUCCAGCUUUGUUCUCUUUGCUUAGGAUUGUCUUGGCUAUUCAGGCUCUUUUUUGGUUCCAUAUAAAUUUUUAAAUAAUUUUUUCUAGUUCUGUGAUGAAUGUUUUGGUAGUUUGAUAGGAAUAGCAUUGAAUCUGUAAAUUGUUUUGGGCAGUAUGGCCAUUUUAAUGAUUCUGAUUCUUCCUAUCCAUGAGCAUGGGAUGUUUUUUCCAUUUGUUUGUGCCUUCUCUGAGUUUUUUGAGCAGUGUUUUGUAAUUCUCAUUGUAGACAUCCUUGACCUCCCUGGUUAGGUGUAUUCCUAGGUAUUUUAUUUUUUAUGUGUAGCAAUUGUGAAUAGGAUUUUGAUUUCUGAUUUGUCUCUCAGUUUCGUUGUUGUUGGUAUAUAGGAAUGCUUGUGAUUUUUGUACAUUGAUUUUGUAUCCUGUAACUUUGCUGAAGUUGCUUAUCAGCUGAAGGAGCUUUUGGGUCAAGACUGUGGGGUUUUCUAGAUAUAGAAUCAUGCCAUCUGCAAACAGAGAUAGUUUGACUUCCUCUCUUCCUAAUUGAAUACACCUUAUUUCUUUCUCUUGCCUGAUUGCUCUGGCUAGGAUUUCCAAAACUGUAUUGAAUAGGAGUAGGGAGAGAGGGCAUCCUUGUCUUGUGCCACUUUUCAAGGGGAAUGCUUCCAGCUUUUGCCCAUUCAUUAUAAUGUUGGCUGUGGGUUUGUCAUAGAUGGCUCUUAUUAUUUUGAGGUAUGUUCCUUUAAUACCUAGUUUAUUGAGAGUUUUUAACAUGAAGAGAUGUUGAAUUUUAUCAAAAGCCUUUUUAUAUCUAUUGAGAUAAUCAUAUGGUAUUUGUCUUUAGUUCUGUUUAUGUGAUGAAUCAUAUUAAUUGAUUUUCAUAUGUUGAGCCAUCCCAGGGAUGAAGCCUACUUGAUCGUGGUGGAUUAGCUUUUUGAUGUGCUGCUGGAUUUCGUUUGCCAGUAUUUUAGUAUAUGUGCUGCCAAACUGAGCACAUUUGCCAGUAUUUUGUUGAAGAUUUUUGCAUCAAUGUUCAUCAAGGAUAUUGGUCUAACGUUUUCUGUUUUUGUUAUGUCUAUGCCAGGUUUUGGUAUCAAGAUGAUGCUGGCCUCAAAGAAUGAGUUGGGGAGAAGUCUCUCCUCCUCAAUUUUUUGGAAUAGUUUCUGUAGGAAUGGUAUCAGCUCUUAUUUGUACAUCUGGUAGAAUUCAUCUGUGAAUCCAUCAGGUCCUGGGCUUUUGUUGUUGGUGGUGGUGGUAAGCUAUUUAUUACUGAUUCAAUUUCGGAGCUUGUUAUUGGUCUGUUCAGGGAAUCCAUUUCUUUCUGGCUCAGUCUUAGGAGGGUUAAUUUCUGUGUAUCUUCUUUUUCUUCUGGAAUUCCUUAGUGUAAUUGAAAGCUGCUGCCUCAGACCUCCUGCACAGCAAGCUGACCAACCCUAGGCUCUUUCAGCAUUCAUCAUGUGACAAAAUUUCAGUCCCUCCUCUCAGUAAAGCACUGACUACCUGGCCCUCUUAAAGUAAAUUCACCCAAACAACAAGUAAAAUACAAUAGCAACAACAACAAUAAUAAUGCUUAUUAAUUUUUCAGCACUUACUGUGUGCCAGGUACUCUGCUAGGUGCUUUAUUUUUUAUCAUCUUAUUUCAUUCUUACAAAAACACUAUACAGUAGCUGUUUUUAUACCCCCAAUUUACAGAUGAAGAAACUAAAAUUCAAAAACAUAAGGUGCUACCUUUACAUGGUCCAUAUGAGGCACAGUCAGGAUUGACUAGGGCUGAAGUUCUUAGCCCCUGCACCAUCACCUGGAGCCAGAACUAUCACUUCCCUACUUUUACGAAUAUGAGGAAGGACUGAAUUUACUCUUUUUAUUGGCUCUUAGGGAUUUUUUUCCCAAAUCUGUAUCUUCAGCCUACACCUCUGUCUUGGGUUCUAGAUUUUUAUAUCCAACUGCCUACUGGACACCAACCACGUGGACAAGUCCUGGUUGCCUCAAACUCAACAUGUUCAAAGCUGAAUACAUCACCUGCUCUCCCAAAUAUGCUCCUCUCCUGCUGUUCCCAAAAUCAGAAAAUGGCUUCACGAUCAGCUCAGUCAUCUCAAGAGCAAAUGCUGAGAGUCACCCUUGAAUCCUUCUGUUGCCUCCACAUUCAAACCAUCACCAUAUCCUUGAUUUCUCUACUGUAUAUUUUUCAUAUGUGUCCACUUCUUUCCAUCUGCACUCUCAUUAGUGAAGGCCACCAACAUCUCUCAUCUGAAUGCCUGCAAUACCUCCUCACAGGUCACCAGGCAUCUAGUUUUGCCCCUGUCCUGCCCUUCCCUCAUCUAGAGUGAAGCCAGUAGGAACCUUCCAAAAUGAAAAUCUGAUUAAGUCACUUCUUUGCUUAAAACUUUUUUAUGGUUUCACAGCCCAUGAAAAUAGUAUCCAAUGUCUUUAAGUGCAUUGCAAAACUCUUCAAGGCCUCCCUCUCCAAUCCUUCUAGUCCUCCCUCCCCAGUUUCAUCACUCAUUAUAUACCCCAUAACCUUUAUGCCAGAGUUGUCAUGAACCUCCUCCCAUUCCUUCAGUAUUUUAUGUCUUUUUGCCUUCAGGUCUUUACACAUGUUGUUCCUUCAUAUUGAAAUAUUCUUUCCUCUCCCCAUUGCCUGGUAGAUUAACUCCUGUUUAUCCUUCAGAUGUCAGCCUUAAUGUCACUCUCUCAAGGUGAACAUCCCUGAAUUCUCUGAUGCAUUACAUAGGAUACCGUUUUUAUUCUGCCAUUGUAUGUGUCACCCUUUAUUGUUAAGAAACAUUUAAAUAAGAAAUAUUUAAUUGUUAAUAAACAGUUUUAAAUAAAAAAUAUUUAUUU
rnacentral:lncRNA from 1 species